UGGGGAAUCUUGCGCAAUGCGCGAAAGCGUGACGCAGCAACGCCGCGUGGGUGAAGACGGCCUUCGGGUUGUAAAGCCCUUUCAGUUGGGACGAAGCUUCGUCGGUGAAUAGCCGGCCGGAGUGACGGUACCUUCAGAAGAAGCCCCGGCUAACUACGUGCCAGCAGCCGCGGUAAUACGUAGGGGGCUAGCGUUGUCCGGAAUCAUUGGGCGUAAAGCGCGUGUAGGCGGUUCGAUUAGUCUGCUGUGAAAGUCGGGGGCUCAACCCUCGAAUGCCGGUGGAUACUGUCGGGCUAGAGUGCGGAAGAGGCGAGUGGAAUUCCUGGUGUAGCGGUGAAAUGCGCAGAUAUCAGGAGGAACACCAAUUGCGAAGGCAGCUCGCUGGGACGUUACUGACGCUGAGACGCGAAAGCGUGGGGAGCAAACAGG
rnacentral:rRNA from 1 species